rnacentral:rRNA from 1 species
GGUGACCUGCGGAGGAUCAUUAAUGAAUUAUAAUGCUGAGGUUGUAGCUGGCCUUUCAAAUCGAGAGGUAAUGUGCACACCUUGGUUAUUCCAAAUUCUUACACCUCUGUGCACUUUACAUAGAACGAUUUACUAAGUUGGUUGAAAGGGGUCGACUGCUCUCUUAGAGUUGUUGACUUCAAGUAGUUCAACUCAGUAAGUCUUCUGUGGUUCAUACAUUUAUACCAGUCAGUCUAGAAUGUCAUACCGCGUUUUAACGCAAAGUUAUAUAUACAACUUUCAGCAACGGAUCUCUUGGCUCUCGCAUCGAUGAAGAACGCAGCGAAAUGCGAUAAGUAAUGUGAAUUGCAGAAUUCAGUGAAUCAUCGAAUCUUUGAACGCACCUUGCACUCCUUGGUAUUCCGAGGAGUAUGCCUGUUUGAGUGUCAUGGUAUUCUCAAUUCUAAUAACUUUUGUUAUUCGGAAUUGGACUUGGAGGUUUUUUGCCGGUGCUUCGGCUUUCCGGCUCCUCUUAAAUGCAUUAGUGUGAAUCAAGUCAACACGGUUUUACUCAGGGGGAUAAUUAUCUACGCUGGGUUCAAGGUUGACUUUAAAAGGGUUCAGGCUUAUAACCCGCCGGUUGACUCAAACCCUUAUACUUCAAAAUCUGACCUCAAAUCAGGAAGAAC